rnacentral:misc_RNA from 1 species
AAGUCGUAACAAGGUUUCCGUAGGUGAACCUGCGGAAGGAUCAUUAACGAGUUAGGGUCUUCUAGGCCCGACCUCCCAACCCUAUGUUUAUUGAACCUCUGUUGCUUCGGCGGACCCGCCUCACGGCCGCCGGAGGACCGCUGCAAGGCGUCCUCUGGCCAGCGCCCGCCGAUGGCCAACCACUUAAACUCUGAAUGAAUCGUGUCAUAUGUCUAAGUCUAUGAUUAAAUUAAAGCAAAACUUUCAACAACGGAUCUCUUGGUUCUG